rnacentral:rRNA from 1 species
AUUGAACGCUGGCGGCAUGCCUUACACAUGCAAGUCGAACGGUAACGGGCCUUCGGGUGCCGACGAGUGGCGAACGGGUGAGUAAUACAUCGGAACGUGCCCGAUCGUGGGGGAUAACGAGGCGAAAGCUUUGCUAAUACCGCAUACGAUCUACGGAUGAAAGCAGGGGACCGCAAGGCCUUGCGCGGACGGAGCGGCCGAUGGCAGAUUAGGUAGUUGGUGGGAUAAAAGCUUACCAAGCCGACGAUCUGUAGCUGGUCUGAGAGGAUGAUCAGCCACACAGGGAACGAGAAAAGGGCCCAAAUCCCAAGGGAGGGAAGAGGUGGGAAAUUUUGGAAAAGGGGGGAAACCUGAUCCAGACAAUGCGGGGGGGAGAAGAAGGGCUUUGGGGUUGAAAACUGUUUUUGUAGGGAACAAAAAGCCUUUUUUUAAAACAGGAGGGUAAGAAGGGAACCAAAAAAAAAACCACCGGCAAACUCGGG